UUAGAUAAACAAGGAGAUUUGGAAAGGAACUUUGUAACUGGAUUUAACAUGGAUAUCAGUGCAUGUAUCAACAAGUAACUCUACUAUUAACGAAUUGAAAUUUAAAUUGAAAAAUAAAUCUCUUGGAAAUAGAACAUAUCCCAGGCCUGGUGGACCAUGUGGUAAUCCCGUCCUGUCUCCAAACCUAUGGAUUGGGGUACAGUUAAGAUUUAAUUCACGAAAACGUCGACAACCCCAAAAGUAAGUCUUUAAUUUGCACUAACCUUGGAACUGGCGAGGAAGUGGACUGUAUCUCGUGUGUAGAAGUUACUGCUGACGAUAUCCUGUCUUUAUGCGUAGGCCUAUAUGAUAUUGCACAUAUAUCACGAAACGAAACGAGGUAAUUGCGUUCAGCUCGAACGCCACGGAAACAGGAGACACGGAACGAAAAAGAUGUUGACUUCUCGACAACGCUUCUUGAAGUGGUGGUUAGAAAGAUAAACGGGGAGGAUGAAGGAGGGGUGAGGGAGAGAGGUUAUCUUGCCUCUUUGGGAGAGGGGGAAGGGGAGGAAAGCACAAACUAAAUCAACCCACAAUCAAGGCUGCCGAUCCUCCGUGAAUCCACCUAUGAGAAUGCCUUUGUAUCGAUAGUCGAUGGUAUCACACUACAGACAGUGCUACAGUUCAAGUACAGACGAAAGCGACAGACCACGUUGAAAAGUGUUGUUUGUUUUGAUUCAAGGAUUAUAUAAAGAGUCUACGACGAUUCGGUAUUCAUGGAUGUAACACAUUGGAAACACCGUAAUCGUAAGAACACAAAAUGGCGAACUUUUUAAGGUAUUUUCCUUACAUUUGAUUUUCAAACUUUUUCGAAGUUGUCAUUGAAAUGCCUCACCUUGUAGACGAAUCUCAACCUAGAUCACUUGAUCUUCGAACCAUUGUUGAUAAAAUAAUUUUCAGACAACAAGACAUCCUGUCUUUAGAAUUGAAGAAUGUAGAUUUGGAGUUCGCCACAACAGACACUUUGAUAAGUCGGUGCAAUGGCGGUGGACAACGUGAAUUGGAGCCAUGGUAAGAUCCUGACUGCAAUGGUGACAAAGUCGAAAGAGGCUAUAAUGAACUUAGGGUUGGAUAUGCAUUGGGAUAGUCACAAAAAAUGAACAGAUGGGGGGUACAUCGACAUUUGACAAAGACAAGGUGGGGUACACUACGCAAAUCCAGAGAUGAGACUUGACAGAGUUCAAGGAGGCUGAAGCUCGCACAACUAAAAUUGCCAAUUGAAGUCGCCCAGGUAACUAUCAAAUAUACGAUCGAGUAUUCAGAGGGCAGCAGAAGAAUUCUAAAAAGAAUUUGAAGCUGACAAAACCAGCAGAUGAUCAAAUUUAGUCGACUACUGUGUCCUCUGCCUGCAAUGAUACUGAGUCUGAGCAGAGCAAGGGGUCUAAGGCAUCAAAAAAAAGACCAAGGAGGUUAAUCCAGGUGGCAAGAUUUGAACCCCAAUGCCAAGGAAUUUGUCUAUAACGAUCCUCUGGGAACUCCAUAGACUCAUGCAAUGUUCAGAAUGCCUUAUUCGCCUAAGUGCAAUAAUCUAUGUUUCGGAAUCAGAAUGAAUGUGUUCUGAAGACUAUUUUGAAAGAAAUGAUUUGCUUAUAAUAUUUACUGUUCCAUUCAAAUGAUGGAAUUUGCUGUAAGCAUAUUUUUUGUUUUAGAUUUUAUGUUUUUUUAACUUGGUGUUGUUUAAAGCUAAAAAUAAAGUGUUUUUCAAAAACAAGUGCAUUGUUAUCAGGCCUACCUGUAAAUCUUCAUGAGAUAGAGCGCUCUACCUGUCUUAUCUACAAUCUUAUGAUGCUAUUCUAAAUAUACCAAAAAACAGUUUGAAGAUGAGUAAACCAAUUGUCCUAUUUUUCCUACCAUGACUAUUUUUGUAUAUUAAAGAAAAACGUUUAAAAACGUC